UACGAAGGGGGCUAGCGUUGCUCGGAAUCACUGGGCGUAAAGCGCACGUAGGCGGAUCUUUAAGUCAGAGGUGAAAUCCUGGAGCUCAACUCCAGAACUGCCUUUGAUACUGGAGAGCUUGAGUCCGGGAGAGGUGAGUGGAACUGCGAGUGUAGAGGUGAAAUUCGUAGAUAUUCGCAAGAACACCAGUGGCGAAGGCGGCUCACUGGCCCGGUACUGACGCUGAGGUGCGAAAGCGUGGGGAGCAAACAGG
rnacentral:rRNA from 1 species